GCCUGCUUCGAGAUGAGGACUCCCACCCACUUGAUGGGGUAAGGCUCCCAGUAGACGACUGGGUUGAUAGGCCGGAUAUGGAAGCCAGGUGACUGGUGGAGUUGACCGGUACUAAUAGGCCGAGGGCUUGUCCUC
rnacentral:rRNA from 1 species